GGAAGGAUCAUUAACACUUCAAUGUCAACUCUACCGUGCUUGCGGUCGCCUGCGCGUGCUCUGGCCGCCUGGUGAUAGCUCGUGCGGUAGUCUGCUCCAAUGUGAUACGUUAAAGUACCGUGACGGCAUCCGUUCCACCGGUGGGUUCUCUGCUGGUGGUUUGGUCGUGCGUGGCGGCGUAUGCAAAUCCAACGGUGGUUGUUUGUGCAUGCGUGCGAUACGGGUGAGGCUCUCGGUUUCGGCCGGGGUUUUUGCUUGUGUCGUGCGUGUGUGCAGACGAUCGCUGCUGGGCGUGUGUGCGUUUGUUGCGUUCGAUCAUUGAGGGUGUUCGUUGCCAACCAAAUAUUAACCCCAUUACCUAAUGUGCCUGAUACCGAUCUGGCACGCGUUCACGCGCGUGUCCCGAUCACCAAAGAAAAAAAAAAACCAUAGACAACUUUUGACAACGGAUAUCUUGGUUCUCGCAACGAUGAAGAGCGCAGCGAAAUGCGAUACGUAAUGUGAAUUGCAGAAUUCAGUGAAUCAUCAAAACCUUGAACGCAACUUGCGCUCGUGAGUCCACUCACGAGCAUGCCUGUUUGAGUAUCGGUUACAAAUCCUCAAACCCUUAUCGCCUUGUUUGGUGGUUUGGGUUUGGAAGCGAAUGGGAGUUGAGGCUUGCCUCGUCUCUUGAAACAUUGGCGUUCGGUCGUGCUUGCCUUGCGAGCGAAAUCUCCGGCGAAUCGGCGCAGCCGGUCUAGCUUCGGAAGCCGCAACUUCUUAACCGAGGUUGUAACGGGACGUCCUAGUGUAAUCAGGUGGCUGUAAUGGCUCUUGCGAACGCUACGGAUCGGCUCUGGCAGACGGAUUCCCAUUGAAUUGGGAGGACUGGUUGCAAUGGUAUGUCGGGGCGCGUUGCGAGGUUUGCGUGGUCGUCUGCGUGCAGGGUAGACGGACUUGUUUGGUGAGCGGAGCGUGUUCCUGCGUGUAUGGGUGGUGGUGGUGGUCAAAAGCCGCUCUGCUCGUGCAUGCCGGCGUGCGUUUUGCAAGCCGAGCUUUUUACGUCGAUUUCAAUACUAAAUCAAACAUCGAUCUCAAAUCAGGCAAGGCUACCCGCUGAAUUUAAGCAUAUCAAUAAGCGGAGGAAAAGAAACUAACCAGGAUUCCCCUAGUAACGGCGAGUGAAGUGGGAAGAGCUCAAAUUUGGAAUCUGCCGGGUUUCACCUGUGUAGAAUUGUAGUUUUGUGAACGGCCUUACGGAGCGGCGCCUUGCGAUCGAAGUCCAUUGGAACAUGGCACCAGAGAGGGUGAGAGUCCCGUUCAUGGUUGCUCGGCCGCCGUUCAACACGUACUGCCGUCUCGACGAGUCGGGUUGUUUGGGAGUACAGCCCUAAAUCGGGUGGUAAAUCUCAUCUAAAGCUAAAUAAUGGCGAGAGACCGAUAGCGAACAAGUACCGUGGGGGAAAGAUGCAAAGAACCCUGAAAAGAGAGUUAAAAGUGCUUGAAAUUGUCAAAAGGGAAGCGAUUGGAACCAGUGUCUGCGCCCGGCCGAAUCAGCCGUCUGGCGACUGCUGGUGUUUGUCUUGCGAGGAGUCCCUGGUGGCUUCCGCGCGGCGAACGCCUGGUGGUCGUCCGGCGGUGCGCUUUGGUUGGUGCGUGCGUCAGCGUCGGUUAGGGGGAUCGAUAGAUGGGUCGCUGGAAGGUGGGCGGAGGCGGUCAAACGCUUUCGUCGUUACAGCCGGUGGCACGUGGUGUCGUCUUGGCCUGAUCGAGGCGUCUUCACGGACGUUUCAACGAGCGGUCUUCGGAUCGGGAGACGUGCUGCCUGGCGGUCGAUGACGAUGGGAACAGCUCGCUGUGCCCGUUGAUUGUCGUGCUGCUACCGCGGUGCUUAUCACUAGCUCGUUAGGGAUGCUGACAAAAUGGCGUCAAUCGACCCGUCUUGAAACACGGACCAAGGAGUCUAACAUGUAUGCGAGUAUUCGGGUGGCAAACCCGCGAUGCGCAAUGAAGGUGAGAAAUUCCGGUGGGAUUCGCCGUAAAAAAGCGAUGCACCAUCGACCGCUCUGGAGAUUUUUCGAUAGAUGUGAGUGGGAGCAUGCCUGUUAGGACCCGAAAGAUAGCGAACUAUGCUUGCAUAGGGUGAGGCCAGAAGAAAUUCUGGUGGAGGCUCGUAGCGAUACUGACGUGCAAAUCGUUCGUCAAAUGUGAGUAUAGCGGCGAAAGACUAAUCGAGCUAUCUAGUAGCUGGUUUCCUC
rnacentral:misc_RNA from 1 species